CUCUUCAUCGUCUGCUUCAUCUGAUC
rnacentral:piRNA from 1 species